UAUAUAACCUUAAUAGUCAUAAAUUUUAGAUGCAAUAAAAUUAAGAUGACAUCCAAAGGCAAAGGCAGUGUGAUGAUGAUUGCUACAUUAAUCUUUAUCAUGUUUGUUGUAUCAAUUCCUACCCAAGCUGUCAGACCAACUGCUGUUUAUCAAGAGUCGCUUGGAAAGAGGCCUAUAUGUCCGGCGUGCGUUUGCUGUGUUCCUCAGCCUCGGCCUCUACCGGGCGGCAGUGGAUGUUGCCGAUGCUGCUCAACUCCCAUCGAAACUCAAAGCUCGCCGUGAUUAAUUACUAAUUCUUGAAGCUUAUAAGUUCAUUGGUUCUUGAUAUGUAUUGUUGUAAAACAUCGGUCUUUCUUAUGGAUCGAUCUUUCCUCUAAUUUGGUUUGAAAUAUUUUUCAAUU